AUGCUUGCUUUGGCAACACAUAUAUUAAAUUGGAAUGAUAACAAAGAAGCAUGUCCCCUGCUCAAGGAUGAAAUGAAAUUCAUGAAAUUUUCCAUAUUAAA
rnacentral:snRNA from 1 species